GCAAUAUGUUCCGUUCUCGCUUUUUGUAAAUUGAAUAUCCAGUUUUCUUCUGGCUUCCCCCAGGAACCUCUGAGUGAAAUUGUUUUCCUGUCCUGCAAAAUACUUCAGAAACUUUCUAUUCCUGAAUUGAGGCUGCUGCUUGGGCUGUUUUCCAUCUCCUUCUAGCAUGUGGAGCUCCAUUAAGAGAGCCUGCUCCAGCCCCGGGGGGCUCUGCCAGAAGGAAUGUGGCCU